UCAUUGCUCAAGUACUCAGCCCCAUUAUC
rnacentral:sRNA from 1 species